GGUGGCUCAGUGGUAGAGAGCUUGCCUUGCAUGCAUGAAGCCCUGGGUUCAAUUCCUCAGCACCA
rfam:Dipodomys ordii contig_51612, whole genome shotgun sequence.